rnacentral:rRNA from 1 species
UACAGAGGUCUCAAGCGUUGUUCGGAUUCAUUGGGCGUAAAGGGUGCGUAGGCGGCGCGGUAAGUCGGGUGUGAAAUCUUGGAGCUUAACUCCGAAACUGCAUUCGAUACUGCCGUGCUUGAGGACGGGAGAGGUGAGUGGAACUGCGAGUGUAGAGGUGAAAUUCGUAGAUAUUCGCAAGAACACCAGUGGCGAAGGCGGCUCACUGGCCCGAUACUGACGCUGAGGCACGAAAGCGUGGGGAGCAAACAGG